UAACACGUGAGCAAUCUGCCUUCAACUGGGGAAUAACACUGGGAAACCAGUGCUAAUACCGCAUAACGUCCCGAACCGGCAUCGGUUUGGGACCAAAGGAGCAAUCCGGUUGAAGAUGAGCUCGCGCCCGAUUAGGUAGUUGGUGAGGUAAUGGCCCACCAAGCCUGCGAUCGGUAGCCGGACUGAGAGGUUGAACGGCCACAUUGGGACUGAGACACGGCCCAGACUCCUACGGGAGGCAGCAGUGGGGAAUAUUGGGCAAUGGGGGAAACCCUGACCCAGCAACGCCGCGUGAAGGAUGAAGGCCCUUGGGUUGUAAACUUCUUUGAUCAGGGACGAUAAUGACGGUACCUGAGGAACAAGCCACGGCUAACUACGUGCCAGCAGCCGCGGUAAUACGUAGGUGGCGAGCGUUGUCCGGAUUUACUGGGCGUAAAGGAUGCGUAGGUGGAAAUUUAAGUGGGAUGUGAAAUCCCCGGGCUCAACCCGGGAACUGCAUU
rnacentral:rRNA from 1 species